rnacentral:misc_RNA from 1 species
CAAUUUACUGUUCCUUAUAAAAUAGGAGCCACAAUAUCCCUAGAAGAGUCUUAUUUCCAAAUUCAAGUAGCAUGUGUAUUUUUCGGUUUGCAAACAUUAAAAACUAACAAAUUCAAUGGGGCAAAAUACUACUCUAUAACAUGCCAAAACAUUUCAAACAUGCUCUGUAAUUCAUAAAGAUCCUGAGCCAAGGUUAAGGAAAGAACUACAUAACAUUCCUGCAUCAAACCUCAAGGCAGACAGUAUGAGUGAGCUCAAAGAACCCUUCUUACAUAAACUGUUAAUCCAAUAUAGUUUGAUCAUUAAGAACUUUUUUAUUUAUCAACUUCUGUUGCAAUUCGUUAGCCUCUUCGAUCAUACCAGCAUCUGCCAGACCUUUAAUUAGAGUAGAAUAAAUUUCCUCAUCUGGCUUGCAUCGAUUUAAGAUCAUAAUUUCAAGAACUUGUAUUGCAAUAUCCACCUUCUUCUUUUUACAUAAUCCAUCAAUCACCAUUUUGUAAGCACUACUAUUGAUCCUGUGCUCUCUCUUUCCCAUCUCUCUCAGUAUCUCCACAGCAUCUUCAACUUGAUUUGCUGAGCAAAACCCCCAAACCAAUGAACGAUGGGUAAUACCAUCAGGAAUGAUCCCAUUUUCUAUCAUUUGAUUGUAUAACGUCAUUGCUUUGUCCAUACUUCCCCUUCUGGUAAUUCCAUCAAUCACAGUAUUAUAAGUUAUCAACCCAGGAGAACAGCUGCUAAAGCUUAGAAGGCUAAGUAAUUGAAGGGCAUCAUCCACCAGUCCUUCUUUACAUAGUGCACCAAGGAGAGUAUUAUAAGUAACAAUGUCAGGCAAACAAUCUUCAUAAACCAUUUGAAGAAAGAAGUCAAUGGCGCGAUCCACAAGUCCAAACUUACACAAGCCAUUAAUCAGUGUGUUGUAAGUAACUACAGUAGGAGGAUGGUAAGUUUCUUUCAUAAUUGCAAGGAUCUCAUCCACUUCAUCCCAUAACCCAGAACUACAAAGAGAAUGCAGAAGUGUAUUGUAAGUUACAGCAUUGGGCUCCAUUCCAUGAGACAGAAUGUUAUAAAUGAUCAAUGCUGCAUCUUCAUAUUUCCCCUGUUUACAAGAAAAAUUGACCAAGGAAUUGUAGGUAACUAGAUCAGGAUAACAUCCCUCGAUUGCCAUAUCCUCCAAUACUUCCAUGGCCCUAACAGUUCCACAAUGCUUGCAGACUAACUCAAUGAGAACUGUGUAGGUUAUAAGAUAUGGAGGGCAUCCCCGCCUUAAUUGCUCCUUCCAGAAUUGAACAGCUUGAUCAAAAUUUCGAUUAUCAAACAUGGAACGAAUUAUUGUGUUAUAAGUGAUCACAUCAGGAGGGCAACCACUCAAGCUCAUAUCUUCGAGGAGGUCAAUGGCAGAUCUUAGUUUUCCUCUCUUGCAUAAACCUCCAACCAUCAUGUUGUAUGUAAUAACAUCUGGAACCCCACCUGACAUGACCAUGAUUUUAAGAACCUUGGCGGCUUUAUCUAUCUGUUCAACUUUAGCGAAGCCCCUGAUUAAGUUUGUACAGCAAAUGAAGUGGGGAAUUUGGUUCCUACGAGCCAUAAUAUCUAUCAGCCUCGAUGCAUCCAUGAGUCUCCCAUUGUUGCACAAAUGCUGCAGGAUUUCAUUGUUGGUUUCUUCAUCAUUUUCAACAAAAGGCCCAUCAAUGGAUAAUGUUGGAGAUCCAUGAUUCUUUGUGCUCAUUUGCUCCCUGAAUUUUCUACCUACACCCAGUAGAUGAGUUUCAGAGCUCCAUUCAUCUUGGUCAUUUUCGUCAACCCUAUCAAUGCAAACACUUCUUUGCAGUCCUUUGCAUUGCAAAGAAAACAAAGUUUUUCCUGAUUGAAGAUCUCCUGUCCACUGUAAACAGGACUCAUUUCUGUGAAUGCACUUCAUUGAAUAUUUCAGAUCGAAGACUGAUGCUUUCACCAUUGAACAAUUGAACCCAACUUUUUUAAAGCAUGAAUGCAAGCCAUGAAAACAAUGAAUUUCUACUAUAGAUUUCUGAGGGGAAACUGUAAAAGUCAUGUUGUCCUGCCUACUAAAAUAUAAUAAUAUCUUAGAAGGAUAUAAUAACCAUAAGUUCAAUAAGUAGCUCCUUCCUUUUACAUGACCAUUAAACAGGAAGAGGAUUGGUCUCUUGCAGAAAAGAAUAAUUUGCUAGUUUCUCUACAUCACCUCCAACAGAAAUUUUCUUCAACCUUCUCUGAUUUUCUCCAUGUAAACCAAUACCACUCAUAAAGAAAAACUACACGGGAACCACAAUGAUGGCAGAACAAAAGUUAUUCUACUCCUGUAACCAAACAUUAGAAAGUCACCUCACAAGGCUGCAACUAUGACCAUCAAUUUCAUAUAUAAAUAGAUUAACCAAUAUAUGGGAAAAAGAAAUUGACUCAACUCACAGUUGAAAACAUAAGCAAAGCAAAGUGGUGCGCGGGCGCGCGUGUUUGUGUGUGUACACAUAUAUAACUAAGCACAUAAGAACCAUUUCUCACCACAUAACCAUGAAAAUGUGAAAAACUUCACUUCGCAAAUUCAAGUGUAGAUAAUUUUAAUUUCCACAACAUAAGUGAAUUAUCUAAAAGACCAAGAAUUCAAAAUCCUCUAAACUCCUUGGACUUUGUAAAAUUCUAAACCAGUUCGCGAAAUUCAACCCAGAAUCAAAAUCCAUUACAAAUAAAAUUGAAGUAAAGGCCAUAUAGAAAUUUCUUUCAUAAGAAAAAAAAGGGGGGACAAUUACAAUUAUUCAGCUCUCACGGGCCACAAUAUGUGUUUACACAGGAUGACUAAAAUUUAGCAAACAAUAUGUACGGAGUGAAGGAAAGAGAAGGACACAGCUACCAAAACGCAACAAAUUCAACAACCCAGUUGAGAAUAUUAGCACGGAUGUAACACCAACAUCAUUGUGCUUAUCUAAGUUCAUAUUGUAAACUUCACUUUACAUAUAUUGAAUUGGAGAAGAAGAUAGCAAAGCCGUCAAAGAGAAAUAAAGAAUGGUAGAAACGAAGAGGAGAAGAAAAUAUAUAAAUGGAUUAUUAAUUCAUAGUGAGGAAGCAACGAAAAUACCUCCGUGUGCCUUCUGCUGGUAAAGGAAAACAAUAGGCCUCGUUC